rnacentral:rRNA from 1 species
UUUCCCUACGGGGGGCAGCAGUGGGGAAUAUUGCACAAUGGGGGAAACCCUGAUGCAGCGAUGCCGCGUGGAGGAAGAAGGUUUUCGGAUUGUAAACUCCUUUUAUCAGGGACGAUAAUGACGGUACCUGAAGAAAAAGCUCCGGCUAACUACGUGCCAGCAGCCGCGGUAAUACGUAGGGAGCGAGCGUUGUCCGGAAUUACUGGGUGUAAAGGGAGCGUAGACGGCGUCGCAAGUCUGAAGUGAAAGCCCGUGGCUCAACCGCGGAACCGCUUUGGAAACUGCGUGGCUGGAGUGCUGGAGAG